UUCGCUAGUAAUCGCGCAUCAGCCACGGCGCGGUGAAUACGUUCCCGGGCCUUGUACACACCGCCCGUCAAGCCAUGGGAGCCGGGGGUACCUGAAGUGCGUAACCGCGAGGAGCGCCCUAGGGUAAAACUGGUGACUGGGGCUAAGUCGUAACAAGGUAGCCGUACCGGAAGGUGCGGCUGGAACACCUCCUUUCUGGAG
rnacentral:rRNA from 1 species